ensembl:lncRNA
GCCUGCCCGUAAUUCCGACGCCUCAUUGUUCCGACGUCUCAAUGUUCCGAAAUAUUUCCCAUUAGAUCGACAUGCCACUAUUCCGACGGUUCAAUGUUCCGAAAACGAAACCCAUUGGUCCGAAGGUCCGUUAGUCCGACUUUUGAAAAAGGAGGCGCAUUAGGCCGACGGUUCAAUAUGCUGAAUAGGAAAAAGAGUUGUAUACCUCGCUCGCUCCCUCUCUCUCUCACUCUCACUCUGUGUGUGUGUGUGUGUGUGUGUGUGUGUGUGUGUGUGUGUGUGUGUGUGUGUGUGUGUCUUUAUCACUAUUUGGGGAACAAAACCUGACAGCACACUCACGGUAUGGGGAACAAAAUUCUUGUGGGGAACAAAAACCAGGACCCCACCAGGGAAAUCAUUGAAAUGGAUAGGACUGACGUUGCUGAUAUGACUAGUGCAAAAAUUUGAAUGAAAAAAAAAAAACCCACACUUCACAAAAACCUGCAAAUGUGUGUUUGAGUGUGUUUGAGGCUGGCCCUCUACAGACUAAAGAAGGGUACUGCAGGUUCACUUUUUCGCUCUAAAAACACACACUCCACACACUCCAUCCACCAAUCAAACGCUGACCUGCCUGUCACGUGAGAUGAUCACUUCGUCCACCAAUCAAACGCUGACCUAACUGCACGUGAGAUCAUCCACAUUGGCGGGAGAUGAGAGGCGCCAUACUUCGACGAAAAGUCAAGACAAAGGCAAAAUGGCGAGAAGAAGGGCAACCCCUCAGCAUAUUGCAGAACAACAUGCCAUCAGUGCCACAGACCAGACUGCCAUGUUAGAGGUGAAAUACAUAAACUCCACCAAAGGCAGGGGUGUGUUUGCUCUGUCCCCUUUUGAAAAGGGGGAUUUUGUAGUUGAAUACAGAGGAGAAAUUAUUGACUUUAAGGAAUCAGAGAGAAGGAGGAGGAUUUAUCAUUCCAAAUGCUUGGUGUUCGUGUUUGACUUCAUGUGGCAUGGCAAAAAAUGGUGGUAAUCAUUUACUGUAUGGUGGCUGGUAGCUUGCAAUGUUCAGUACAUAAUCUUGGCCUAAUUGUCCUGCUUGACUAAGCCAUUAGCGUGAUUCUUUUUGUCUCCUUUGAAGCGUUGAUGCUGCGUUGGAAGAUGACUCAUUUGGAAGACUGGUCAAUGAUGAUCAUGUCCAUCCUACCAGCAGGAUGAAAAGAAUUUUAGUUGGUGGAAAACCACACCUCUGUCUGUUUGCUGCGAGAGACAUAAACAGAGGAGAGGAAAUAACAUAUGACUAUGGAGAUAGCAGUUGGCCAUGGAGAGAAAAGGUUUGUCAGUGACUAUAAGCCUCUGUAUAGUAUGCUUUAUCUAAUAUAUACGUCAACAUCUUUCGACUAACUGCUGCCCUUUUGACCAGGUGACCCUUG